AGUCACGUUGGCGCAGUGGUUUGGGCGCUGGACUAGGGCUUUGGAGAGCAGGGUUCGAAUCCUGCCUUGGCCA